rnacentral:rRNA from 1 species
UAGUGAGUUUGAUCCUGGCUCAGAGUGAAUGCUAUCGGUAUGCUUUACACAUGCAAGUCGAACGCAAUUUAAUAUUGAGUGGCGCACAGGUGAGUAGUACAUAAGAAUCUACGCAGUAGAGAGGUUUAUAAUUUGAAAAGCUUUGCCUAGUAAAUUUUAAAUGCCUCAUAUAAUAAAGGAUUAAUAUCGCUAUUGCAUGAGCUUAUGCGGGAUUAGGUAGUUGGUAGGGUAAAGGCCUACCAAGCCCAAAGAUCUCUAGUUGUUCUGAGAGGAAGCACAACCACAUUGGGACUGAAACAAUGCCCUAAACUUUUAAGGCAGCAGUGGGGAAUAUUGGACAAUGAGCGCAAGC